rnacentral:rRNA from 1 species
UACGUAGGGGGCAAGCGUUGUCCGGAAUCAUUGGGCGUAAAGAGCGUGCAGGCGGCCCGGUAAGUCCGCUGUGAAAGUCCAGGGCUCAACCCUGGAAUGCCGGUGGAAACUGUCGGGCUAGAGUCCGGAAGAGGCGAGUGGAAUUCCUGGUGUAGCGGUGAAAUGCGCAGAUAUCAGGAGGAACACCAAUGGCGAAGGCAGCUCGCUGGGACGGUACUGACGCUGAGACGCGAAAGCGUGGGGAUCAAACAGG